GGGCGGGGAGGGACUGCCGGGGCCGGGGCGCGGGCGCCCCCGCCAAGAGCGGGCCGGGUCACUCAAGCCACUGCCGCGCCAGGGCGGCAGGCCUCGGAGGGUCGGACUCCGUUGCCAUGGCGACCACCAGCCCGGGUUUCUCUGGGACUGGCCGGAGCUCAAGUUUCCCGACCCUUUGUCCCUGCGGAGCACGCGCGUCCCCGGGCGACCGCGUGGCUGGCCUAUGGUCACCGGGGUGUUCGGCCUUAGCUGCCUUAUGAGAGGCUGGGAGCCCGUCGGGAGACUUCAAAGAGGGCUCCGGCAAGCCCCCGGAGCGUCGUUGCCCGGGCCUUUCUCAGGCCGCGCACCCCGGCCGCAGUGCGGACGCUUGCGGCCGCGGCGGUCCCGGGACGGCGGUGGCGCACCUGGAAGGCCCUAGCUUCCGAUUUGUUCCAAAGUGGAGCACAAAAAGGCCCGAUCCUGCGAACUUUGAAAAGGCCUCUCUUCACUCUUUUCUAGAAAUUAAGAAAGAGCAGAAGUUGCUGGGCUUCCUCUGGCUGCGGGCCAAGCGUGGGGCGACGGCCGAGGUGGCCGUUGGCGCACGUGGGGCAUUUCGCUUGGAAAGGCUCAGCAGCCUGUGUGGCGUCUGCGGUGGCAGCCUCCAUUAGAGGAAAUGUCUCUUCUCCCAGUCAGGAGUUAACCACCUGCUGUAACUUCCUCUUUAGCAUCGCCAGAGGAAACUAAGUAUGACUGUGCCUUCACUCUGCAGAAAGAAAAUGAGUGGCAAAGGAGUUGCGAAGGGAUUCCUGAGCCUUUAUGCCAGCUGGAAGCUUAAGGCCUUGGUAUUUGAGACUUCACCCUUCAAAAUGUCUUGGAGGAUGGCCCAGCAACCAGCCAAAUGGCCCAAUGGCCUAGCCCAGUGGAGACGGUCUCAGCUUUUGACAAGCUAGCCGGAGAAAGGGCUGGACAGGAAGGGGCCCACUGGACAGCGAAUAUUGAUAGGGCCCCUGGGAGGAUCAAUUUUCCCCUCCAACAGUGCCUGGCUCCCAUUAUCAGAUUAGAUGCAAAGUGGGCUGGCAUGCCAGGGGGUGACAGGAACAGUGUCUCCAGAAAUCCUCUGUGAAGACACCCAAGUAUUGUUCAGAAGUGGCCCUGUAUCUGGAAGAGGGAAAACUGCACCCACUUCUUGCAGACAUACAGUUCCAGCUCCCCCCACAGGACUUGCUCAUACAUCCAACAAAUAUUUAAUCAGUGCCCACCAUCUGCCACUGUGCCAGGUGCCCGGCCUCAUCAUGAGUCAGGCAGAGGUGGUCUGUGCAGUUUUCCCACAAUGUGAGAGGGUGCUGAGAAGACUUUUAACGCUUAUUUAACUACGGAAAUAACUCUUGGUUUGGUACCUACUACAAAAUAAAAACAAGCGCUUGUUGAUAAUUUCUGGAUGGAUGACUGUGGAAAGCUGGAGGAGACUGAGGAUCAAUUUGCUCUAAUGAACCUUCCCUUGACUAUCAUCUCCGUUACCUCCUGCCGCAUCCCUACGGCAAAUAUGCAAGACUCUCACGCAGCUAAUUUCCAGGGGUUUGCAGUCUGGGGAGGAAGCAGAAAGCACAUCCCUCACUGACCCUGAGGAGGGGCAAAUCUCUGGUAGCAGUCACAGGUACGUGCUGUACACACUUCCCAUCCUUUGAGCCUUCCCAGCUGGAGAGCACCAAGAGAACGCAGUUGGGGAGGCCCCGAAAGAUGAAGGGUUGUUGAGCUUGAAGGCAGUGAAAAAGUAAAUGGAAGAAAGCUCUCUGCCCUCCACUGCCUAAAUGCAGGAUAUAGAUUUAGAAGGAUAAAAGGGGUCUGCUCCCUCUCUCGACCAGGGAAAAGUUAACCACUGAAGACAACUUUAGACUCUUAUGGGCCUGGAGCUGGAACCAGAGGAAUGGACAUGAAGGCGCUUUACUAACUCUAUUUAUCUGCCAGUUACUUACCUUUCUACAAGUUCUCCCCUUAGACACUCAAAGUUCUUUUCCUUUGUCCUGUCGCUUCCCUAAAACUUGGCUUUUCUUUGUUGAAGAUGCUAUACAAGCUGGAAUUCAAAGCUACCACUUUGAGAACUACUCAAUUCCUGCGUGUCUCCCAGGCAGAUGUGAAAUACACAUGUUAAUAAACUUCCACUGGUUUUUCUCUUGUUAA
rnacentral:lncRNA from 1 species